GUUGCCAGGUCCUAAUCUAGUUUUAGUUUUGUAUGAAAACGCAGCAAUUAUGCAUGUUGCAACAAAAUAUUUGUCUCUCUUUUAAGAAAAACAAAAAAAAACCAGAACGAACGAACCCAAACGAAACGAGAGAGGGAAGAAGAGAAUCGUCAAAGUGUUAAAGUGGUGGUGAAGGAAGAAGUUGAGCAUGGAACCUGAACAUACAGAGGCUCUUUUAAACCAUUUGGAGAAGCGAAAUGGAUUGCUCACAGAAACUCAUAAAACCAUGACUCAAGAACUCUAAAAGCUUCAGGUGGAAGAAGAGAUGAUGAUGCGGAAGUUAUAUGAGCUGAUGUCUACAUAUCGUCAAAAUAAGAAGAAAAUGGAGGAGACUCAAAAUGUGUCACAUGGUAAAGAAAUAGUGGUAGUGGAAGCUUCUGAUACGAUGUCUAGCACAUCCAAGGCGUUAAUCACAUAUGUGAGAAGAAGGAAAAAGAAUCAAAAGCCAACACAGUGAAGAUUUUCAGUUCUUGUGUAAGUUAGUUUCUCUUUAGUGACAUGUUAGUUCUACUUAUUAUCUCUGUAUUUUUUUAAAAGGGUAUUUGCGAUGUUUUCUAGUUUUUACGAUGGCUCUUAUGCCUAUAUAGCGGGUAGUAGUCUUCACCUUGUUUAUGCUUGUAAAAUGCAGCUUAAGUUUUUUUUUUUUGAGUGAUGAAUAAAACUGUUUAUGAAA